rnacentral:lncRNA from 1 species
CUCAAUAGCUCGCAGUAACCGCGCCUGAGGAACUCAAUAGCUCGCAGCCGUCGGGCGCCGCCGUCCGCGCGAUGCGCCGCCACCCGCGCCUCCCACCGUAGCAUGCGGGUGAGCCGCCUUGCGUCGUCUCUCUCUCCUUUGCUCUCCUUACUCAUCUCUCUCUGCCUCUCCUUGCAGCAUUGGAGGCCGAGCACCCAUGGCGUCGCACGAACUCACCUACCAGUCAUCGUCCUCCUUUGAAUUCGUCGGGAUCCGGCUGGAUCCGGAUGCCGGCGCCCCGUUCUAGACAUCCCCUCCUUGCCUAUGUCGCCGGGCAUCACGACGUCAUCGUCUCCCUCACGGGAUCUGGCGCAGCCGCUUGCUGGCCUCUUCCUCGCCUGGACGAGACGUCCCCACACCGCCCCUACCAACAUGAGCAGCAGCCGUGAACGCGUCGACAAGGGCUUCUCCGGCGGAUUAUUAAAAAGAAUUAUUUUACAAUUUUUUUUGCCAGAUCUGUGGUUAGCAAGGCCAUGGCUAUGAACUCCGAUUGAUGCACCGUGAGUGCUGGGUGGUGCUUGAUGUGGUGAAGGCAAAAUAGUGGAGGUCCGAGUGAGUAGUUGGCUAGAUCUGGAAAAUAUUUGUAAUUCUAAAUUUUUUUGUUGUGUAUUUCUUCAUUUCAUAUUCUUUUAUUUAUAUGAUAUGUUUAUGCAAUUUUCUUUUUUAUUUAUAAGGCAAUGAGCAUAUAUAAUCAGAAAAAUUGGUAUGGACUCAAAGUUCC